AACCAGCACCUCAAGUGGUCAGGAUGAUUAUUGGGCCUAAAGCAUCCGUAGCCUGUUCUGUAAGUUUUCGGUUAAAUCUAUGCGCUCAACGUAUAGGCUGCCGAAAAUACUGCAAAACUAGGGAGUGGGAGAGGUAGACGGUACUCGGUAGGAAGGGGUAAAAUCCUUUGAUCUAUUGAUGACCACCUGUGGCGAAGGCAGCUUUCUGGCUCGAUACUGACACUGAGGGACGAAAGCGUGGGGAGCGAACAGG
rnacentral:rRNA from 1 species